GGUCAAGCGAACAAGUGCAUGUGGUGGAUGCCUUGGCGAUCACAGGCGAUGAAGGACGCGGUAGCCUGCGAAAAGCUACGGGGAGCUGGCAAACGAGCUUUGAUCCGUAGAUGUCCGAAUGGGGAAACCCACUCCUUUUGGAGUAUCCAUGGCUGAAUACAUAGGCCAUGUGAAGCGAACGCGGUGAACUGAAACAUCUAAGUAACCGCAGGAAAAGAAAUCAACCGAGAUUCCCAAAGUAGUGGCGAGCGAAAUGGGAUGAGCCUUGCACUCUUUAUUUGUAUUGUUAGCCGAACGCUCUGGAAAGUGCGGCCAUAGCAGGUGAUAGCCCUGUAGGCGAAAACAGUAUGAAAGAACUAGGUGUGCGACAAGUAGGGCGGGACACGUGAAAUCCUGUCUGAAGAUGGGGGGACCAUCCUCCAAGGCUAAAUACUCGUGAUCGACCGAUAGUGAACCAGUACCGUGAGGGAAAGGCGAAAAGAACCCCGGGAGGGGAGUGAAAUAGAUCCUGAAACCGCAUGCAUACAAACAGUCGGAGCCUCG
rnacentral:rRNA from 1 species